GGUGGGGAGAGGGGGGGGGAGAAUAAUUAAAAAAAAAAAAAAGAAUGAAAAAGCUUAAAAAAAAAAAAAAGAAAAAAAAAAAAGGCAGCUUUGAUUUUCCAGAUGUGCAAUUCACACGUGAACAAAGUAAUCCUGAGCGUAAUUCUCAAUGUGUUUUCCGUUCUCGUUGCUCUCCUCAAAGCGAGAGGCGUUCGCCCCCGGUGUCAUUCCCAGCCUGCAGAAGGUGUAAUUUAAAACAUAUAUAUAUUGUGCUUGCGAGAAUCAUGAAGCCGUGCAUCCGGUGUCAUUCCUUCCCCAUUGUUACAAUACGACUCAGUUGGGUUAUUUUUUUUUCCUUUAGGACUGUAUAGUGUUUGUUUUUUGUUUUUUUUUUUGUUUGUUUUUUUAAAGAAAUCAAUUGUAAAUGUCUGGUUUUCACAAAAUGUUUAAAAAACAUUGAGAAAGAGGAUGGUGCUUGUUCCAUAUCAUUCUUGAUUGUAUAUUGCUUCUGUUCUGUUUAUAAGUAAACUGUGCAUGACUUGUGUUUAGCGGUCAUUAUGGUGUCUGUUUGUGAGAUUUUUAUUAAGGAGAAACCAAUCCCGUAGAUGCACUUAUUGUAUAUGUGGUUAGAUGGUUGCUCUGAGGCUAGAAGCCUCCAACUGCCCAGGAAGGAGGAGUAAAAAGAGAAGCGUUGGCAGUUAUUAAUGGAUAUGAAAUCGCUUUGUUGGGAGCAUAAUGAAAUGAGAGGGAGGAAGUGUAGAAAAUAAUUUGAAGAAGUGAUUUUUUUUGGCAAAUUUCCUUUUGAUGCUUGUGAUAAAAGACAAAUGUACUUGUGUAGAGAAAGUCCUUUAAAACAAUGGCUAGGAAAAGCUGAUUUUGAGGUUAAUGCUGUAGAAUAGGAAUGUAUACCAAAUGUAAUCUUUCCAAUGCUACGAUGAAUUUAUACAUGAGAUUGAUAUGCAAUAAACCUGUGUGCUUUUAUAAGCCGUGGUCCCUUUGUGAGCUUUGUUUCUCGCCCGACGGCGGAUGCUUCGCUGCGAGGAGGUCAGUGUGGUGGCCGGAGGAUGGAUCCCGUGUUCCACGCA
rnacentral:lncRNA from 1 species